rnacentral:lncRNA from 1 species
CCCACUGAAAUCAAAAGCAAAAUCUUCAUCUGGGUUAUCUUUCUCUUUUGGGAUUUCUUCCCAAUUGAAUUCAUCGUAAAGAGGGGAAAUCCGAGUAGGACUAGCAGGUGCACUAUAAAACAACGUGGCAGUACGUGGAGGACUUAAUAGAGCACUCAUGUACGGAGUAAAACAACCAUUGUCGAUGUUGAACGAAAGAGAUGGUGGAAGAACAAUCAGAGGGGAAGAGAAAUGAAGAACAAUGAAGGAGAAGUUUGCACGUGGAGGACUUGACGGAGCACUCAUGUAAGGAGUAGUACAACCACUGUCGAUGUUGAAAUCCACCGGCGCCGGAGAUUGCAUCAUCACCUCUUUUUCCAUUUUAUGCACACCAACUGUUCG